UACAGAGGGUGCGAGCGUUAAUCGGAAUUACUGGGCGUAAAGCGUGCGUAGACGGUUGUCUAAGUCGGAUGUGAAAGCCCCGGGCUCAACCUGGGAAUUGCAUUCGAGACUGAACAGCUAGGGUGCGGAAGAGGGAAGCGGAAUUUCCGGUGUAGCAGUGAGAUGCGUAGAUAUCGGAAGGAACAUCAGUGGCGAAAGCGGCUUCCUGGUCCAGCACCGACGUUCAGGCACGAAAGCUAGGGGAGCAAACAGG
rnacentral:rRNA from 1 species